UGGGGAAUAUUGCACAAUGGGCGCAAGCCUGAUGCAGCCAUGCCGCGUGUAUGAAGAAGGCCUUCGGGUUGUAAAGUACUUUCAGCGGGGAGGAAGGCGAUAAGGUUAAUAACCUUGUCGAUUGACGUUACCCGCAGAAGAAGCACCGGCUAACUCCGUGCCAGCAGCCGCGGUAAUACGGAGGGUGCAAGCGUUAAUCGGAAUGACUGGGCGUAAAGCGCACGCAGGCGGUCUGUCAAGUCGGAUGUGAAAUCCCCGGGCUCAACCUGGGAACUGCAUUCGAAACUGGCAGGCUAGAGUCUUGUAGAGGGGGGUAGAAUUCCAGGUGUAGCGGUGAAAUGCGUAGAGAUCUGGAGGAAUACCGGUGGCGAAGGCGGCCCCCUGGACAAAGACUGACGCUCAGGUGCGAAAGCGUGGGGAGCAAACA
rnacentral:rRNA from 1 species